GCCCGCCUCUCAAUCACAUGAAUUAAACAGACUUCAAUGUGUAGUCGUGAGAGCACAAUGGCAAAAAGGGCUAUUUUAAUGCUUUUGCCUACAUUAUUAGGUAUUGCUUUAACUCAGGAGAACUUCUAUGGAGAAAGAUUAAGUUUUAGGUCUUUGCAAAAGACGAAGGAUGGAACUGUUCAGGUGAGCUUCUACUAUCGAGAGAAUGGCAGAGGUAGCUGCAAAAACCAACUCUCCUAUCGCUGUGAGAUUGGGUAUUGUAAUAACACAGAGGACUCCAAGCCUGUGCUUACAGACAGCAGCAGCUUUGCUCAUGAACAGUGGUGCCAGUCGGAGGGACAGGCCAGAGUAGCCUCCCUCAACAACCAUUCCCUUGUCUUAAAAGACACAGGUUGCUGCUGGCCCCCUAAUGUUCAUGGUAAAACAAAAUGGAUGGCUGGGGGAAAGUUGGACCUGGGAUAUCGAUCAGACACACACACCUACAACAAAAUUCCUGUCACUGCAACAGUGCCAUAUUUACGGGUUCCUCAGAACUGUUUCACAAAGCUUCGACUUCUGGCCUAUGAUCCGGAUGGGGACCAUGUGCGAUGCCUUUUUGCAUCAACAAGUGUUGAUUCAAAGGUUACUCUGGAUGAGAAUGAGUGCACAAUCAAAGCUACAGGCCUGCUAGAUGUUGGGCUCCAUGUGUUUGAGCUGGUGCUUGAAGAGAUGUCAAUCUGACUUAUGAUGAUGGAUCCUCCUCUGAAAAAAAAGCGUUCAACAUUCACCCUGGUAUCCACUCAACCCCUUUCAGCCAAAUAUAUCUACAAUUUACGCUACAGAUCCUAUAUCCGGCACACAACUGCAUAGCCGGUCACGUGGUUCCCCAGUACCUGCUGCCGACAGCAUCCCACGGCGACGUUCGCCAGGCUUCUGUUGGGGAAAGAUUCCAGCUUCAUAUCCACGCCCAGGCCAGCGAGACCAAGAUUAUGGACUUUCAGAUCAGUGGCCCUCAGAACAUGGCCAAGAGUAUGACCACUGGUACUUUAGGGAAUGCGUCAGUCAUUCUGAACUGGACACCAGCUCUCAAUGACCUCUACCGGCUUGUACCAGUUUGCUUCACUGCUGAGACAUAUGAAAGCCAAUCAGAAAUGAGGUGUGUUAUUGUAAUGGUUACCAGAUCAUCCACCUCUGAAGGUAAAGCUGUAGUGAAAUGCUCAGCAACACAGAUGACUGUUUCCCUGGAAAAAAUGUCCAUGGAUGGCAUCGACAAGAACUGGCUGAAUAUGAAUGACCCCUCAUGUUCUAUGAGUUCUAAUGCCACACAUAUCAUGGCCACCAUGUCAUUCAACCCCUGUGGAACAAAACUUGAGGUAUGUUUCAACAUAAAAGGGGAACAUUGUAUCAUCGUAGGAUUUUACAUUGAUGUUGACACCAGAUGCAUAUUACUAAUUUUAUUUAUUUAAACUUUAUUAUUCUAGAUUUCUGCUAUCAUAUUUGCCAAAUCAGAUACAAAGAUAGCAAAGUAGAUAAUCACUAUUUUAAAGGUUGCGUAGGUGAUUCGCUUUUUUGGCCAUUUUUGCAAAAUUACUUGCAAUCCUUAUCAUAACCCGCUUACAGCCACUGAGUUAGAAGUACUGACAUGAAAAUUUAACUUGUCAAUCAUCUGUGGAACGGGCAGGGCUCGAAAAACUCCAGCCAAUCAUUUCCAUUGCCACCGAGUUUCAUUGGACAGUAAGUACGUCAAUCAAACGGUCGUACUCCACUCCCCCUCCCCCGCGCCCCGCGCGCGACCCCUUCGUGCAGUACUCGUGACCCAGAGCUCGUGACCCAGAGCAAGCUCCUGUUUGUUGUUAUCCUGCGGUAUCUACUGGAACUAGUUAAUCCACAUUUGGACCUAGAAGUAGAAGACAAUUUCCAUGGCAGACAAGACGCCACCAUCCCCACCACCACCACCACCACCAGCAAAGAGAAGGAAAACUCUUUUUCAGAGAGUAAUUGAUAAUAAAAACGCUGAAAGAGAAAAACUGAAAUCAAGAAUAAUCCUAGGCGCUGCUUUUGAACGUUUGCGGCAACUGAAGGACGAGAAGGGUCUAAAAACCGAUGCUUGUGUGGCGGUUGACCUAGUUUCAAAGUUUAUACCGUUUAUACUCGGUAAUACCAGUGUUGAGACGAGUGUAUUACUCGGUGUGAAAAUGUCCACACUGCGGCAACCCUAGUGAAAACCAGGACUUCCAAUACAAUUAUAUGAAACAAACAUACAUUUUCUAAAAAUAGUAAUGAUUUAUGUGACCGUUUAAUGUUUAUAACAUCUGGUGCAACCAUAGCCGCGAGAACGUAUUCUCAGCAGGGGGUGCUGGGAAAAAAACCCGGCCUGCACUAGACUCGCAACUCGUCACAUUGAUAAAAAAAAGAUAUAUAGCAGCACAGCUCAAUUACACCAGUGCAUGCGCGCACAGUUGAAAAUCGAUCGUUGUGUUCACUUCCUUCACACCAUGGUUCACAUCCAGCUGCUCACAGAACAAGUUUAGCGCACCACCGCUACCCUCACACUU